CAGUCGCCGCGGGAAAACGGAGGGUGCAAGCGUUAAUCGGAAUUACUGGGCGUAAAGCGUGCGUAGGCGGUUCGUUAAGUCUGUUGUGAAAGCCCCGGGCUCAACCUGGGAAUGGCAAUGGAUACUGGCGAGCUAGAGUGUGUCAGAGGAUGGUGGAAUUCCCGGUGUAGCGGUGAAAUGCGUAGAGAUCGGGAGGAACAUCAGUGGCGAAGGCGGCCAUCUGGGACAACACUGACGCUGAGGCACGAAAGCGUGGGGAGCAAACAGGAUUAGAUACCCCUGUAGUCCCUGUCUCUUAUAC
rnacentral:rRNA from 1 species